GACGGAGGGCGCAAGCGUUGUUCGGAAUUACUGGGCGUAAAGCGCGGGCAGGCGGUUAAUUAAGUCUACUGUGAAACUCCGGGGCUCAACUCCGGACAUGCAGUAGAUACUGGUUGACUAGAGAAUGGUAGAGGCAAGCGGAAUUCCUGGUGUAGCGGUGGAAUGCGUAGAUAUCAGGAAGAACACCUGUGGCGAAGGCGGCUUGCUGGGCCAUUUCUGACGCUCAUCCGCGAAAGCGUGGGGAGCAAACAGG
rnacentral:misc_RNA from 1 species